ensembl:misc_RNA Metazoa_SRP Metazoan signal recognition particle RNA
AUUUAUCACUUGAGCCCAGGAGUUCUGGGAUGCAAAAUGCUCAUUGGGUACCAUGCUAAGUUUGGCAUCAACAUGGUGACCUCCUGGGAGCUGAGGACCACCAGGUUGCCUAAGGUGGAGUGAACUGGGCCAGGCUGGAAAAGAGUGGGUCAAUCAGUAUGGGAUUGUGCCUGGUGAAUAACCAUUGCACUCCAGCCUGGGCAACACAGUGAGACU